GAUGAAGAACGUAGCGAAAUGCGAUAAGUAAUGUGAAUUACAGAAUUCAGUGAAUCAUCGAAUCUUUGAACGCACCUUGCGCUCCUUGGUAUUCCGAGGAGCAUGCCUGUUUGAGUGUCAUUAAUAUAUCAACCUUCUCUUUUUUGAGUUGUUUGGAUGUGGGGGUUUGCUGGCCUCUUAAAUGAUUCAGCUCCCCUGAAAUGCAUUAGCAGAACAACCUGUUCAUUAGCGUGAUAAUUAUCUAUGCUAUUGAAUGUGAGGGCAGUUCAGCUUUCUAACCGUCCUUGGACAAUUCAUCAUUAAUGUGACCUCAAAUCAGGUAGGACUACCCGCUGAACUUAAGCAUAUCAAUAAGCGGAGGA
rnacentral:misc_RNA from 1 species